CCUACGGGAGGCAGCAGUAGGGAAUCUUCCGCAAUGGGCGAAAGCCUGACGGAGCAACGCCGCGUGAGUGAUGAAGGUCUUCGGAUCGUAAAACUCUGUUAUUAGGGAAGAACAUACGUGUAAGUAACUAUGCACGUCUUGACGGUACCUAAUCAGUAGCCCCGAU
rnacentral:rRNA from 1 species